GUGGGAUAUUAAAACAAAAAUAUUGAAAAAAAUCUGUACACAGCACCUUUGAUUACAAAAUGUUCUUAUAUUUGAAAAUAACUUUUUCUUGUAAAACGCCCGAUCUUAUUAUUACCUAUAUAAGGACUAAAUUGUUAUGUAUUUAAUCAUAUUUAUGCACACAGGCAUCUAAAGUGAAAUCGUGGCUUCUCGAAAAAGGCUACGAGAAAGUAGAAGUUGGGACAGUCGAAGCAUUUCAAGGCAAAGAGAAGCGUAUUAUCAUCGUAUCAACUGUUCGUGCGAACACUAAUAUGCUUGAGCACGACGCGAGAUACCAACUGGGGUUCCUGGUAGAUGAUAAGCGUUUCAACGUCGCACUGACUCGUGCGAAAGCCAAAAUUAUCAUCAUAGGCAA